rnacentral:rRNA from 1 species
UACGUAGGGUGCGAGCGUUAAUCGGAAUUACUGGGCGUAAAGCGUGCGCAGGCGGCUUUUUAAGACAGGUGUGAAAUCCCCGGGCUUAACCUGGGAAUGGCGCUUGUGACUGGAAGGCUUGAGUGCGGCAGAGGGGGAUGGAAUUCCUGGUGUAGCAGUGAAAUGCGUAGAUAUCAGGAGGAACACCGAUGGCGAAGGCAGUCCCCUGGGUCGACACUGACGCUCAGGCACGAAAGCGUGGGGAGCAAACAGGAUUAGAUACCCCGGUA